ACGGAAGGCGGCAGUGAGGAAUAUUGGUCAAUGGACGGAAGUCUGAACCAGCCAAGUCGCGUGCGGGAGGAAGGCCCUACGGGUCGUAAACCGCUUUUGUACGGGGAUAAAGUCACCUACGUGUGGGUGUUUGUAGGUACCGUAAGAAUAAGGAUCGGCUAACUCCGUGCCAGCAGCCGCGGUAAUACGGAGGAUCCGAGCGUUAUCCGGAUUUAUUGGGUUUAAAGGGUGCGCAGGCGGGCUGCUAAGUCUCCGGUGAAAUGUCAGGGCUCAACCUUGGCACUGCCGGAGAUACUGGCGGCCUUGAGAGUGGCGGAGGUAUCCGGAAUGUGUGGUGUAGCGGUGAAAUGCUUAGAUAUGACGAAGAACUUCGAUUGCGAAGGCAGCUUACUGUAGCGUAACUGACGCUGAAGCUCGAAAGUGCGGGUAUCGAACAGGAUUAGAUACCCUGGUA
rnacentral:rRNA from 1 species